GUCGUGAGCGCGGCGGCGGUGGUGAGCAGCAGGAGAGCCUGGCGGAGCGCCGCGCACAGCGCUCGGGUCAUGGCCACCAGGCGGCCGCGCCGGGGCUUCGAGGUCCCAGAGCGGAGCUAGGCGGUCCGGGCAGCGCGGGCCGCUUUGAAGUUCCCGGGCCGCGGGAGGGAAGCACAGCCCGGCACCCUUUUGAAGAGCGCAGUUGGCUCUAAUCCAUGCGGGCUCUCCCCUCUCCAACCUCCCCCAUCCCCCGCCCCAAGCGGCUGGCGGUGCGCGGCGCUCCUGCCACCGGCCCCGGCAGCAGGCUGCGAGGGGGGUGGAGGGGGACAGAGCCCGCCCCCGCUGCGCCUCCGCCCCCUGCGCCCUCUCGCAGCUGCCCGGGGCCUGGCGCGGCCGGCCAGGCGGGCAAAAGCCGCCAGAGCGCCAGGCAGUGAGACCGCCCAGAGCUGGGGGCUAGAAAGGCGGUUGGGUGGCGCGGAACCCCCAGGACCCGAUAGCUGCGAAAGGGGUUGGGACACGAGGGAGAGCCCGACUGAGGCUUUGGGAAAACUUAAACCGUGCAGCGGUUGCUCCCUGGUGGUCUCUCUACUGUCUCCUACAGGAGAUCCAACCCGUCCAGGUCUCCAGACAUUCGUUUGUAGUCCAGGUCCCUAAAGGUUUUCUAACUAGACUGAGCCGUGAGACAACCACUGGUAUUCGUGCGGGGCUCAUCCCACCACCAUGUCCUGGCGGUGCAUGCGUCUGUGGAAGGGCGCCCUCUCUGUUCAGCCCUGGAAAUAACCAAUUCCCUGACUGCCUUAGCUACCUAUAGUUAGGCCUUAAACUUUCUCUCUUACCUGAGGUUUCAGGUAACCUUCCCCUCUAAGACUGGCCACCAAAGCUGAACCACCUGCGCCCGGGCGAUUUGAUCAUCAAGCAGGCUUAGAGGCAGAGGACUCCUCCUAUGAUCUUUGGAAGCUACCUUGCAGCGGAAAUACUGGGCCAGGGGAGGGGAAUCCUACCCACGGAUUAAGGGAAGAAUCUCUAAUGCCAUGCAUCUUAAUUUUUCAUUUCAUCUUGGAACAUGAACUUAUCAUGGAAUGAGCAUAUGGGCAAAAGGACUCAGAGCGGGAUCUGUUGCCUAUCUCUACUUGAAAGUAAAUAUGCCUCCGUCCAAGAAAAAAGAUGCAGUGACCAUGAUGUGAUGGAAAUAGUUUCUUGACACCUGAGUCAAACACACCUAGAUUCCAGAAACUCCUUUUGUUAACAAAAACCUAAGUAAUCAACAUAAUUGUUUAGAAAUAGUUAUUGAACACCUACAACAUGGAAAAUGUUAUUCCAUGGUCCUAUAAUACGCAAGAAGAUAAAUUUGAUCUGUCAGAGGUAGUAAGGAAAGUUUGUGGUAGAAAGUAUGUCGAGCAGGACUUGGAAAUAGAACAGAAAUUAGGUGGGGUGAGUG